GGGGUUGUAGCUCAGUUGGUAGAGCACUUGCAUGGCAUGCAAGGGGUCGUCGGUUCAAGUCCGAUCAGCUCCACCA
rnacentral:tRNA from 1 species